UGGUUGGUAUGGUGUUGUUGUGCUGUUAAUAGGUGGUAGCUGUGUUGUAUCAGGUGUUGAGGGUUUACUUAAUGCUAGAAUGUGUUUAAUAGAUAGAGAAUAACUGAAAGAAAGGAAGAGAAGAGUUUCUAUUUGUAUUUAGUAAUAUAUUGAUUAAUGGGUGAUAUUAAAUGAUGUCCUGUAUUCUGUAUCGAUCUUAAUAUCAAUAGAAAUCAGUCUAUAAACUAAGACAUAAUUUGAAUGCUGGAGGUAGUUAUGGAUUCAGUUUGUGAGAACAGAAAGAGUAUUUGCAAGAACAUAAAUUAUAUUUUGUGGAGGAUUUAUCAUCAUUUCAUCAGAACAAACAAUAAUCUGUUCUGUGCUCAUUAAAUCUGUAUUUCUGAUUAAUCUCCAGUCCCGUUAUCAGAGGGAUUAUUGGUCAGUAGAGACGAAGGGACGGAUCCAGAGGUUUCACUCUGACUACGUUUACAUGCACUAAAUAUUACAUGUAUUUUCUCUUAUUCCUAAAAAGAUAAUAUUCCUACUAUUCUGUUUACAUGGCUGAUGAAAAUUAAUAUUCCACUAAUGUUCCUGUUUACAUUACUUCAGACAUUUUUCAGCCUUUUUUCUGACGUUAUACAGCCUUUUUGUUUUUGGACAUUUUUGGGACAUUAUUCUGCCUUUCUUUGGCCUUUUUUUGAACAGUUUUUGGACACGUUUCUGCUUUUUUCUGACAUAUGUCUGAACUUUCUUUUGCCUUUUUGACAGAGAUUUUUGGACAUUUUUAGGCUUUUUUUGGGACAAUUUUCAGCCUUUUUUGCUGACAUUUUUGGAAAUUAUUCAGCCUUUUCUGACAUUUUCGGGACUUUGUUUCCAGACAUUUUUAGGCCUUUUCUUUUGAACAUUUUUGAGCCUUUUUCUGCCUUUCUUUGGCAUUUUUUUCUGACAUAUGUCUGAACUUUCUUCUGCCUUUAUUCGUACAUUUAAGUAAAUCCCGAUGACUUACGUCCUACGGCUACGGCCUUUAAAUAACGUUAACUUCCCUCUUCUUCCAGCUGCAGUCAUGUUGCUCCGUGUUGUUAAACCCUCAUUGUCACAUAGCUGGGCUCUUCACGCUAUUCUUUUUACGGUGAUGUACGAGAACAGACUCCGACGCCGUAAACUGUCGUAAACUGCAGUAAAAACCCUGAUUGAGACUUAUCUAGUGAAUGUUCUGUAGACAGAACACUGCUAGAACCUGAAUAAUAUCAGCAGAUCACAUGACUUCUUCUGGACAUGCUGUUUACAUCACUCUCACUAUAAUAGUGUGACAUUAGUGUGCACGUUAACGUGGUCAGUGAACAGGAAGCAUCAUUAUUAUUAUUGUCUGGUUACUAGGGUGUUGUUAGGUGAUUAGUGAGGUGUUGCUAGGUGGUUUCUAGGUGGUUGCUAGGGUGUUGUUAGGUGAUUAGUGAGGUGUUGCUAGGUGGUUUCCAGGUGGUUGCUGGGGUGUUGUUAGGUGAUUAGUGAGGUGUUGCUAGGUGGUUUCUAGGUGGUUGCUAGGGUGUUGUUAGGUGAUUAGUGAGGUGUUGCUAGGUGAUUGCUAGGGUGUUGUUAGGUGAUUAGUGAGGUGUUGCUAGGUGGUUGCUGGGGUGUUUUUAGGUGAUUAGUGAGGUGUUGCUAGGUGGUUUUUAGGUGGUUGCUGGGGUGUUGUUAGGUGAUUAGUGAGGUGUUGCUAGGUGGUUUCUAGGUGGUUGCUAGGGUGUUGUUAGGUGAUUAGUGAGGUGUUGCUAGGUGGUUGCUGGGGUGUUUUUAGG